UUGCUCAGUUAAUCGGCUCUGAGGUGCUUCAUCCAGCCGGGCAGAGCAGCAAGGCAGCCUCCAAAAAAGAUUUUUGCUUUUGAGGGGGUGGCGUGGAGAAGAGAUGAUGGGACGAUGAUAUUUGUUAGAGGGUAGGAAAGACAAUACUCUGAAAUGAGGAGGGAGUCCUCCCAGCAUCCCCUAACAGCAGAGAGAAGGCUUCUUUCUGUUUUAGUGUAGAGAGCCCCCAAAUAAGUGGGUGUAAGGGACACUGCCCUCAUACACACACCACACACCCAGCUCCCCAUCCCCAGCUUCUAACACUCCCAGUUCAGGUCUUGUCUCUCGGCCCCAGUUCACUCCUGGGAUGCCUAUCUAAAAGACAGCUCAGAAAAUCCACAAACUGACAAAUACUUUUCCUCUUCUCUUUGCCGGUACCUUUUCUUUUCGAAGAAAGAAAAAACCAAACCAGCUGGUGCGAAAAGGAACCCGCAAGCUGUGAAGUUAAAGGAAAGUCGGCUUCCGUUGUCAUUUGCUGCUCCGAGUGCAGACGAGGGUCACAAGUCACAGGCCAUGAGGAAAAGGGAAACCAGAACUGGCGUGGGCACUUUGACAGCCAGUGCUGCAACAGCUGAGGUGCAGCAUGAACUGGGGCCUUCACAACUGCAGAAAGGAGCUGUUGAAGUGAGCUGAACUGAAUCCAUCCUGCAUGCAGCUAUCUUGUGCCACCCCGUGUAAGAGAUGGGAAAUUACACAACUUUCUGACCACUGUGACCCGACUUUGGCAUUGGAGUCCUGCAGAUGAGUUUUGUGCACUUUGAAGACAUUUUUCAGUUUAUCAGCAACUGAAGCACAUUUUAAAAAGUAUUGAAAUUGUUUAAUAUGAAAACUAAUUUUUCUUAAAACGUGAUUUCUUUAUACUUACGCUAGUUCUUCCUUUACAUUUGUAACUUUUACAUGAUAAUGUAUACAGCCCUCAGGCCAUCUGCUGUGCGUGAUACUAGUUCUUUAUGAAUGUGUUUUCAAUAUUCUAAUUAAUAUACCUUCAUAAUUGUGCUCUUUCCCGUUAUUUGUACUUUUUUUAUUUGCUGGUUGGUGGUGCUUGCUUUUCCUUUAGUGGUAUUUUUCUUUCUCAUGUUU